UAGUUACUUCUCCUUGCCUCUGAUUCAGUCAGGAGGAUCAGCUCUAAGUCACUGUUGGAGGUAUCACUUCCAUUUUGAGCGGACUUGGAGUGUUGGGAGGCUUUUCUUCUCCUCUUAUUGUCUGGUCCUUUUCUUUCUAAGCCCCUGGGAAGAAGGAAUGCUGUGGGCUCUAGCCCUACUUCUUCUAGCCAUCCUGCCUCCUGGCAGUCAAACAUCUUCCAGUCUGGAAGGCAGAAUAAGGUCAGUCAUCAGGUCACCUGGAUCAUAUGUAAUAAUCAUCUGUGAAUUUCGUGAAGCAAAUAAAUAUAUCCACUGGUACCAAUUCAAGGAGGGGAAGUCCCCAAGACGAAUUCUCUACUAUGAUAUUUUCAAUUUUAAGUUGGACUCAGGAAUAAAUUCAAGGAAAUAUGAGGCUGAUAAAGGCAAAGAUAGAAGAUUGAGUGGCAGAGAGACCCCUGGAACAAGACCUCCCUCUAUCUUCAAGUUUCAAGCUUUAGUGACUCCUUAGCCAGAACAUUUCAAGGAUGAAAGACUCUGAAUUUCCUGCUGAAUUGUGGAAAAGCUGAGACGUGGACGCUACCCUUGUUCCCAGCUUUGGAAUUCUUAGAAGAGCCCCAUAUCAGUACUCUCUAUUAAACCCUUAUGUCAAGGAUAAGAUCUUGCAUGUAAAAUAACUCAAAA